rnacentral:rRNA from 1 species
UACGUAGGGGGCUAGCGUUAUCCGGAAUUACUGGGCGUAAAGGGUGCGUAGGUGGUUUCUUAAGUCAGAGGUGAAAGGCUACGGCUCAACCGCAGUAAGCCUUUGAAACUGAGAAACUUGAGUGCAGGAGAGGAGAGUAGAAUUCCUAGUGUAGCGGUGAAAUGCGUAGAUAUUAGGAGGAAUACCAGUUGCGAAGGCGGCUCUCUGGACUGUAACUGACACUGAGGCACGAAAGCGUGGGGAGCGAACAGG